UAAUGUCUAAAAGAAUGUUUGAUGUCUUUAAUAUUAAAAAGCAAAAAUGAGUUGUUACAAAUUCCUCGUCAACAACAAUACUAGAAUCUGAAAAUGAAGAUUUAAAUAUUGGUUUAGACAUUGAUAUAACUACACAAAAAAGUGUUGAAAAUAUUGUAGAUAAAAAUGUCAUUUCCAACUUGGCAACUUUAAUAACAUGCCCCGUGCAACCAAUUUUAACAGCAAGUACAAAUGAAUAUGUGCAGAUGUUGUGAAUGAAAUAAUUGUGAAAGACAUUGAAGUCGUUGAGGUGUUUGGAAUUAUGUGUGAUGAAGCAAAAUGUUACAAACAAGAACAAAUGGUAAGGUAUGUUAAAAAUCUAGAUGUUGAGAGAUUUCUCGGUUUUAUAGAAUGUUUUAAGAAUCAUGAUGCUGGAAGUUUAUAUCAUUACAUAUUAUGGUUCUAAACCACAAAUAGUUGUUUAGUCAUAUGACGGUGCAAAUGUUAUGCCUGGGAAAUUUAACGGACAACAAAAAAAAAAAAAUCAAUAUCCUUACGCUAUUUAUACCCACUGCAUGACUCAUAAAAUUAACCUCAUUGUAAUUGAUAUGUGUAAAUAUGUAAAGGAAACAAGGCAUGUGUUCAACACUUUAGAAUCUCUGUACGUACAUUUUUCUCAUCUGUCAAAAAAUCAAAAAUUAAUUGAGAUUCAAACUAAACUAGGAAUAAAACAUGCGACAAUUAUUAAACUUAGUGACACUAGAUGGAAUUGCCAUUAUAGAAAUAUAGUCUGUGAAAAACAGUUAUAAAGCAAUUAUUCAAGCUUUAGAAGAUUGAAAAUUAUUAAUUAAUUAAUUGAAAAUGAAGAUGAUAAGAGGAGUAAAUGAAGCAAUUGAAAAAAGAUUUUCUACUGAGAGCCGCCAAAUGGCUACAACUGUUGAUCAAUUUUUUCAAUUAAACUUUGAGGAAAGUAUUUUCUUUGUAAAUCAUUAUAAAUAUUUGAUGAAUGUAUCUAAAGAUGUAUUACAGUCAGAAAUAAAAGUGGCAAAGAAUUGCUUAGGUAUUGCAGUUUUCUGAUGAAAAUUAUAUAACUUUUAAUGAGGUGGAAAAGGUUUUAACAAAACAGACUUUCCUUAAUUUAUAUAAACUAUUUUAAGUUGCUUUAACAAUUCCUAUAAGUUCCUCCGCUUGUAAAAGGAGUUUUUCGGCCAUGUGUAGAAUAAAAACUUGGUUUCGAACUUCUAUGCUGCAGGAAAGGUUCAACACCUCAAUAUUAUAUAUUGAAAAAGAAAUUUCUAAAUCUAUUAUUACUAAAACAAUUGUUAGUAUAUUUUCACAAAA